CCUGGUCACCUUCAUGUACACAGUGUUUCAGAGUAAGCUUCCAGCAGUCGGAUCAUUCACCCUUUCCGGCUUUUCAUAUCCAGGCAAAACAACAGUUCCUUCAAGUCAUCAUUAUUUUGAAAUCAUGUAAGUCUGGAAUUGUCACAUUCCUCAACAUGCAAAAAGGCAGCCAC